UUGAACGUAGUGUGAAAGUCGGAUGUCGAAUGCUCGGAAACGAUGUCUUAACAUUCAAUCUGAACAUUCGUUCCCAAUUAAUCAUCUUUUUUUUUUUUGCUGCCAUUUCACUUGAUUUAGUUUUUAGAUCUUAUAAGACAUGUGAAGACAAAAUAUGAAGAUGCAUUUAAAGACCUCAAAGUUUGUGGCGGUUUUGUUGAAAAGAGAUACCACACAUGUACCAGGAGUAGCCUAUGUCCGUCUCAGAGGAGAUAGCAGAGCUGCUGCUGAAAAUACACACCAUGGUGUCUGGUAACAAUCCACCCUGCUUUACUGGACUCUUAUGUGUUGGAAAUAAAGAGCAAAAUAAGAACUUGGAGCCGGAAUCUGUGGGACACAACUUGUUGAAGUCUUCAGUGGUUAAGAAAAAACAAACUGGAGAGAUGAGGUGCAGAAGAGCGCAGCUGAAAGAGAGGGACCAGCUAAUGAACAAAGGGCACAGUCAGGAGAGAGUCAUAAUGACAAUGCAGCCAUGAAGACAGUAGAAACCUCAGCCAAGAGUUCAGGACAAAAUGGUGAAAAGAUAAGCGGGAUGUUUACCGGGACAGGGAAGCGGACGGGCACAUGCAGAUCGGAUUUCUUAUCGGAACAAGUGGUGGCCCCGCACCUGCUGGCCAUGUAACCCCUGCCGGGUCCCCUGUGGAAUGCAAGAAAUGGAAUAUGGCAAGGCGGUUUCCCCAUUUUUCCCAUCCCACGCCCUUCUCUUUCUGUUUAUCUUCAUGCGAGCCUGUAUUUAUGAGCGCUCUGCGAAGGCAAACACGAUACAAACACAGCCUAAGAAAUUCCCCCAACCCUCCCUUCUUCUUUUCGUCUUCCUCUCUCCAUUUUCGGCUGUAUCUACAUCCUUGCUUAGUGUCACAUUCGGGGGGUCAAAGCAAAGUGCUAUAGCCUCAGGCUAGCUCACAGGCUUGUGUAUCAUUGUGUUUGCUGAUCACUUUCACUGCCUAUCAUAAACCACCAGCUCUGCAUCCUUGUUUAUUCUUUUUUAUCAUAAAUAAGAAAACUCUCAGUGGGACUGGUACGGAAGGCUGGGUGUGGAAAUAAAAUGUAAACACCAA